CCGGAGGCUGUGAUGCGUACAUAUUAGGGAUUUUCUGAGGGACAGAGACAUGGUUUUUGCCCUGCUGAAUGAGAGAAGCCAAUGGAUCCUUCUGAGCCUGCCC